UGCGUAGGUGGUGAGGUAAGUCGGAUGUGAAAUCUCCGAGCUCAACUCGGAAAAUGCAUUGGAAACUACCUUGCUCGAGGGUUGGGAGGGGGGACGUGGAAUGCUUGGUGUAGCAGUGAAAUGCGUAGAUAUCAAGCGGAACACCAGUGGCGAAGGCGAGUCCCUGGACAACUCCUGACACUGAGGCACGAAAGGCUGGGAGGCAAACA
rnacentral:rRNA from 1 species